GCACCUGUGAGGAGAGUGCGGUGACUCGGGGCUCACUGGCUUGUUAAAGCCACCCAACCGCCCCGGGGACUGGGUGGACUCAUUUACCGAGGAGGACUCGGGCCCUGCGAGGUGAAGACACUUGGCUGCGAUGACACGGCAGGGUUCCACGUCGACUUUCUGGCCGACCCAUUUUCCCUGUUCUUUCUGCCCCUGCACCCCACCGUACCUUCAUUUGCGUGGGUUCUUGGCUCGUAGCCUCGGGAGCCUUAGUGGGAAGCCCUGACCCCGGCCCAGCAGAGUUCUGGGGCGGCUGUGGACAGAGGGAAUGCCGGUUCUGGGAGCCACAGCCCUUGUCUCUUUGUUUCACUCUGGAUGUGCUGCCUCGCAGGGGAGCGGUGCGUGGCGACUGACUGCUCCAGUCUAGCUUCAAGCCUGAGGCCCCUGAAUGUCCCGGCGGGACGUGAGUGGGAAGAGGGAUUUGUUUCCUUGGAGGUGGCUUAGUGACAGGCCCAUCCCAACCCUCGAGGCGGUGGGGGCACGCGUCAGCAUUGAGUCCGGGUUCAGCUUAGUUGACUAGAGCUGUUUCUGCAUCCCCUGGGCCACCAGCCUGGAAAAGGGCAGGGAUUGGAGGCAGCUAGACGCAGGCCCUGAGCAGGUACAAUCAGGGACACCCACCCAGGUGGCUUGCCCAGAAAGCUUGGGGGAACUCUCUGCUGCAGCCUCACCAGCCCCUCCCAACAAAAAAAAAGAUCUUGAGCCAAGUUAGACUUGGCUUAUCGCCGUGUCAGUCACUCAGAGAGCCUUCGUUUGCUCUGCAUGGGGGAAUAAUGUCUACCACUGGGGUUGGGAGGAGCCUGCAACGGGGCCUUCCACAGGCAGUCAUAACCCGCUGUCCCUGGAAACAAACGGGACCAGCCUGCUUCCAGUCCAGAAGGACCGACUAAUGGGCCGGGGCCUUGGCUCCGCGCAGCCAGAGGGAGCUAGAGUCUGGACUGGGGAAGCGUUUCCCUUUCCCCCCCGUCAGCACCCCCUGCAGCUCCGUGACUGCCCGUGGCUGGGCCAGCUCAGCUCCUUUGUGCCUGGGGUGGGAAGUAAGGCACUAAAAUAUGCUGGGCGCAGCUAGGUGUCACACCGAGCCCAGGCCUCCUUCAGGUUCAUGCGCCUUCGUUAGUCACCCCGUCAACCUCUGCACCCCUAGUUUUGUAAGUGAAGAAACUGGCCCAGGGAGCUCAAGUGACUGGCUGGUGAUGGUGACUUACUUGCUGUCAAACCCAGGACAGAUGUCUGAACCUUGCUGAGCGCCACUUUCUCAUUUGUCAAGUGGGAGGAAUUGUUACCUUCAAGGUGGUUAUAAGGAUUCGCUGUUUAAGCCUCAAAGGUGUUGGGUGAUCUUUUCCUCUAAGAAUCUUUGGAAUAAUUCUGAUACGGGGAAAAAACAAAGAGCGGACUGUCUCCCUGCCCAGCCAUCCUCAGCCCCUCCCGACCUGAGCCGAGUGCCAGAAGAACCAGAUUCGGUAGACGUUCAUCCGUACCUACUAUGUGCCAGGUCACUUCAUCCUGUUCCAGGUACAGCAGCUCCAAAUCGUGGGGAUUCUGUAAGAUCUUCCUACCUGUUGACUGAGGAGGCCCACAAUUUGAACUGACCAGAAAUCGAGGGUUUGCUACAAUGCAAAGCAGAUGGCCCUGGACUAAUGGAGAAAAUACAGAGGAGGAACUCUCAACCUAACGAGCACAGGUCAAGGCCUAUGGAAACAUGGAAAACUACGUACCAGGUUUUCCCAUCAGAAUCUUAGGAAAAAACUAAGCUUAACAAAGAAGGGCACCCUUCUCUGACACCGUGGUCAUCGGGGCUCUCCCCGAUCAGCAUGACCCACCCACUCACACACGGAACCUUAGAGUCAGCCCUCCAAGAAAGACAGAAGGCCUGCAGGUAGAACAGACCUUCGUAACUGCCAGCAAAACCCUAUUUAAACAAUAAAGAUCCAUCUCAUCAUUUACUAUGAUUCAGAAUAAACCACCAAAACCAAAUUUUAAAAAUAUUUAAGCCUUUUGCAUGCCUACAAAAUCAAAUUUUUGAGAGGAAA